GAUGAACGCUGGCGGCGUGCCUAAUACAUGCAAGUCGAGCGAACGGACGAGAAGCUUGCUUCUCUGAUGUUAGCGGCGGACGGGUGAGUAACACGUGGAUAACCUACCUAUAAGACUGGGAUAACUUCGGGAAACCGGAGCUAAUACCGGAUAAUAUUUUGAACCGCAUGGUUCAAAAGUGAAAGACGGUCUUGCUGUCACUUAUAGAUGGAUCCGCGCUGCAUUAGCUAGUUGGUAAGGUAACGGCUUACCAAGGCAACGAUGCAUAGCCGACCUGAGAGGGUGAUCGGCCACACUGGAACUGAGACACGGUCCAGACUCCUACGGGAGGCAGCAGUAGGGAAUCUUCCGCAAUGGGCGAAAGCCUGACGGAGCAACGCCGCGUGAGUGAUGAAGGUCUUCGGAUCGUAAAACUCUGUUAUUAGGGAAGAACAUAUGUGUAAGUAACUGUGCACAUCUUGACGGUACCUAAUCAGAAAGCCACGGCUAACUACGUGCCAGCAGCCGCGGUAAUACGUAGGUGGCAAGCGUUAUCCGGAAUUAUUGGGCGUAAAGCGCGCGUAGGCGGUUUUUUAAGUCUGAUGUGAAAGCCCACGGCUCAACCGUGGAGGGUCAUUGGAAACUGGAAAACUUGAGUGCAGAAGAGGAAAGUGGAAUUCCAUGUGUAGCGGUGAAAUGCGCAGAGAUAUGGAGGAACACCAGUGGCGAAGGCGACUUUCUGGUCUGUAACUGACGCUGAUGUGCGAAAGCGUGGGGAUCAAACAGGAUUAGAUACCCUGGUAGUCCACGCCGUAAACGAUGAGUGCUAAGUGUUAGGGGGUUUCCGCCCCUUAGUGCUGCAGCUAACGCAUUAAGCACUCCGCCUGGGGAGUACGACCGCAAGGUUGAAACUCAAAGGAAUUGACGGGGACCCGCACAAGCGGUGGAGCAUGUGGUUUAAUUCGAAGCAACGCGAAGAACCUUACCAAAUCUUGACAUCCUUUGACAACUCUAGAGAUAGAGCUUUCCCCUUCGGGGGACAAAGUGACAGGUGGUGCAUGGUUGUCGUCAGCUCGUGUCGUGAGAUGUUGGGUUAAGUCCCGCAACGAGCGCAACCCUUAAGCUUAGUUGCCAUCAUUAAGUUGGGCACUCUAAGUUGACUGCCGGUGACAAACCGGAGGAAGGUGGGGAUGACGUCAAAUCAUCAUGCCCCUUAUGAUUUGGGCUACACACGUGCUACAAUGGACAAUACAAAGGGCAGCGAAACCGCGAGGUCAAGCAAAUCCCAUAAAGUUGUUCUCAGUUCGGAUUGUAGUCUGCAACUCGACUACAUGAAGCUGGAAUCGCUAGUAAUCGUAGAUCAGCAUGCUACGGUGAAUACGUUCCCGGG
rnacentral:rRNA from 1 species